GGGAGGUGGGAGCAGCCAAGCCAGGGUGUGAUUUCCAGAAAAGCCCCAGAGAGAGUGGCCUCAGCCUCAUACCAUAGGGCACUCUGGAGUUGGUCCUGACUCGGGGGCCUGUCAGUCAUUGGCCAAGGGCCAGGCUUUGGGGUGUCGACUCCCACACAGCUCAGCUCCCUGAAGAUGUGGGCACGGUGGUGGUGGGGGCUGCUGAAGAGUUGCAGAUGCAGCCACUGGAGGGGAGGCUGAGGUCAGUAGCCAGGCUCACAGGGACGGCAAUGGGAUGGGAAGCAACACCUGACGGGCUCAGCUACAGGUGCUGACGGAUUCAUAGGCAGGUGGCAGAAGGCAGUCAAAUAAAUGAAACAAUACAGCGCCCUCCCCGCGACCACACACACCGCUCACGCCUAUGAGUGUUCGGGAUGCAUUGGGUCUCAUUCUGCGUGUUGUACGUGUCCCGUGACGCCUCAUGAGGAUGCUCUUUGGCAGACACUGGUAUUGUUAUUCUUAUUUUACAGGUGAGGACAUGGAAGCACAGGGAGGUUAUGCCACUCGCCCAAAGACAACUAAUCAGUGACAGCUGAGACUUGGAUUGCAGAACCUACACUUUAUAACUAUUUUACAGUUCUGGGCGUCACGGAAUCUUGUAUGAGGAGCCCCUAACCUGGCCCGGGUGGAGGCUCUGCUUCCUCAGUGUCAGCAUCAUUCACAGCAGGCAUGUCCCUCCUGCCUCCAAGAGAGUCACCAGCAGCUUCCUCCUCCACAUCUCAAAAAUCCUGUGUGUACACAUAUGCUGAACAAGGCGCACACAGUCUUCAUACUUCUUUCCCCAAAUCCACUGUUGUACCUCACUCUGGAAACCAAAGAAUACAAAUGGAGAUGAGGCUAAUUUUUGCCCCUCAAAUUGGCAAAGGUGAAUAAAACCAUG